GCUGUGAGAACGGGUUAAUGUUUGUUUUGAUGUUUACUUUUAAUUUUGAGAAAAUGGACAAUACAUGGAUUGGAAUAUUCAACUUUAUUUGCAAAGUAUGUGGAAGGAAACUGGAGUACUCGGAAAAAAACUCACGCGAGCAGAAGGAGAAUAUGUAAACUCCUUAUAGAAACGCCAACUGGCCCAGCCAGGACUCGAACCAGCGACAUUCUUGUUGUGAGGCCACAUUGCUAACCACUGAGCCACCGUGCCACCUUGUUCUGGAUUAAUCUCAGAAAGAGGGGGAUGAGUAGGGAUGGAUGGGGGAUUCUUUGAGGUGAAAAUGACUAAGUUUCUGAUAGGGUGUACUUUACUGGACUGUGUACAUGAUGUGAGCAGACUACAAAACAGCAGUGCUGACACAGAGCCUGAGCAGAGAAGAUAUUCAUCCUGAGAGGAAGAUCUUUCCAACAGCACUCUGCCACUGAUGACCAUCUCCUCCUGGGCCUCAGACACAACGUAAAAAACUUUUUUUUAAUAAAUAUUUUAAUAAAAUAUUAUUCCUU
ensembl:lincRNA